UACGUAGGGUGCAAGCGUUAAUCGGAAUUACUGGGCGUAAAGUGUGCGCAGGCGGCCGAGCAAGUCGGGUGUGAAAGCCCCGGGCUUAACUUGGGAAUUGCGCUCGAAACUACUUGGCUGGAGUGUGGCAGAGGAAGGUGGAAUUCCAGGUGUAGCGGUGAAAUGCGUAGAGAUCUGGAGGAACACCGAUGGCGAAGGCAGCCUUCUGGGCCAACACUGACGCUCAUGCACGAAAGCGUGGGGAGCAAACAGG
rnacentral:rRNA from 1 species